rnacentral:rRNA from 1 species
AUGGAUAACCGUGGUAAUUCUAGAGCUAAUACAUGCUAAAAACCCCAACUUCGGGAGGGGUGUAUUUAUUAGAUAAAAAACCAACGCCCUUCGGGGCUUCUUGGUGAUUCAUAAUAACUUUACGGAUCGCAUGGCCUUGCGCCGGCGACGGUUCAUUCAAUUAGCCACAGUCUGACUUUACGAUGGUAAGGUAUUGGCUUACCAUGGUUUCAACGGGUAACGGGGAAUUAGGGUUCGAUUCCGGAGAGGGAGCCUGAGAAACGGCUACCACAUCCAAGGAAGGCAGCAGGCGCGCAAAUUACCCAAUCCCGGCACGGGGAGGUAGUGUCAAUAAAUACUGAUACAGGGCUCUUUUGGGUCUUGUAAUUGGAAUGAGUACAAUUUAAACCUCUUAACGAGGAACAAUUGGAGGGCAAGUCUGGUGCCAGCAGCCGCGGUAAUUCCAGCUCCAAUAGCGUAUAUUAAAGUUGUUGCAGUUAAAAAGCUCGUAGUUGAAACUUGGGUCUGGCUGGCAGGUCCGCCUCACCGCGUGUACUUGUCCGGCCGGGCCUUCCUUCUGGAGAACCUCAUGCCCUUCACUGGGCGUGUUGGGGACCAGGACUUUUACUUUGAAAAAAUUAGAGUGUUCAAAGCAGGCCUUUGCUCGAAUACGUUAGCAUGGAAUAAUAGAAUAGGACGUGCGGUCCUAUUUUGUUGGUUUCUAGGACCGCCGUAAUGAUUAAUAGGGACAGUCGGGGGCAUCAGUAUUCAAUUGUCAGAGGUGAAAUUCUUGGAUUUAUUGAAGACUAACUACUGCGAAAGCAUUUGCCAAGGAUGUUUUCAUUAAUCAGUGAACGAAAGUUAGGGGAUCGAAGACGAUCAGAUACCGUCGUAGUCUUAACCGUAAACUAUGCCGACUAGGGAUCGGGCGAUGUUCUUUUUCUGACUCGCUCGGCACCUUACGAGAAAUCAAA